UUCUUCCUCCAAGUUCAUAUCGAAACUGCUCCCAUCUUCUUCUUCUUCGGUCCACCACCAUGAGUCCAUCAUCUCCACCACCAUCAUCUCCAUCACCAUCACCAUCCACAAUUGGUAUUGAGGAAUAGAGUGAACUAAUUUGUUCAAUUUCAGUGAUUUUCAAUUUCAGUGUUGUUGAACUAAUUUGUUGACCAAACAUCGAAACUGAAGAAGAAAUCGUCGGAAUUUCACGAUUAAACCCUAACUUCCAAAGCCAUUACAAUUUGCCUAAGUUAGAACAAGGAACUCAGUCAAAAAUAGACGAUAUGUGGAUAAGAAUUUGAGCAGGGAAGAAAAGGAGUUGUUACUGCAUGGAUUUCAGUGGGUUAAGUGAGAUUCUCGAAAUGGUGAUUAUCGGAAGAGAUUCAGUGGAAGUAUUAGGGUCUUGAAUGAAUUAGAAGACAUGGGUUCUCGUCAGAUUUGAUUUGCAGCAACGAGAUGAAGAAACCAAGACGAAUUUCUGAUGGUGGAAUUUAGGGUAUGGUUGAUGGCCGGGAAUUCAAUUGAAGUAAAGGGAGAUGCUGCUACUGUUGGCUUGAGUGUAUGAUGGUGCUAUGGACUAAUUGCAGUUGGAAUCAAUAGGAAGGGGAGUCAAGGUCUAAAUCUAGAGCCACUAUGGCUAAGCACCCUGUUGCAUAUGGUACUCUCUCAUUCAACUUUACCACACAUUGCUCAGGUUACAGGUAUAUCGGCCAUUAAGCUUAAACAAAAAUGAAGUUUGACAUACAGAAUUUGACCAACUUCAUUUUUGUUAGUCUCAUACCAUAAUAUAGAUGGAGAAUCCAAUAAAUUUGAAAGGGCUGUGGAAAAGGUUAAAGGUUAAAAACAACUCAACAUCAUAACUGUAGUACUGAUCCUCAGCGUAGAAGAUGUUGUUGUGUCAGGACGUCAUAUAGGAAAUUCCUACAUUAUAAAUGGAGGAAUUUGUCCCAAGAUUACUGCCUUCAUAUAUUUCUGGAUGGGUUUCUCAAAGUGGUGGUGGUGGCGGUGGAUCAUCGUCGUCAGGUGGCAUUGGAGGAUGGUUGAUGAAGUUCCUUCGUGCAUUACAAUUGUGUUUUAUUGAGCAAUAGAUUUUAUGUACCAAAAUGCUCUAUAAUGUGUACAUCCACAAAAAUGGUAGGGAGAUCAAUUAAGAGACACCGAGCUGAAUGAUCCGUUGAUUUAGACAUACAUCAAAAAUGUGGCAAGUGGAGUUAGGACAACCAGCUCAUUAGUGGACCUAGAGGAGGGAACGUGUGGCUUUCUGGUGGACAUAGGUCAAUUCACAGGAAAACCUUACUUGAAGCUUUAGCAGAAGAACUACCGCCAUAUACUAUCCAUUUUUCUUCAAAGUUUAUCUCCAUUGAAACACAGAUGAAGCUGCAAAUCGUCCAAAAUUAUGCUGCAUUUGGAUUAUGGGACUAGCGUUUGUACCAAGGAGAGUCAUGAGAGUACAAAUGAAUGUCCAGUUGUUGUGUGAAAAGCCAAAUGCUUGACAAUUUGCUAGGACAUUUGCUCAGACCUCACUGCAAUUGAAACUUAAUAUAACAUUUUGGCCAUAUAUGGGCAUUGACAGGUUC